rnacentral:rRNA from 1 species
UAGUCCACGCCGUAAACGAUGUCUACUUGGAGGUUGUGGCCUUGAGCCGUGGCUUUCGGAGCUAACGCGUUAAGUAGACCGCCUGGGGAGUACGGUCGCAAGAUUAAAACUCAAAUGAAUUGACGGGGCCCGCACAAGCGGUGGAGCAUGUGGUUUAAUUCGAUGCAACGCGAAGAACCUUACCUACUCUUGACAUCCAGAGAACUUAGCAGAGAUGCUUUGGUGCCUUCGGGAACUCUGAGACAGGUGCUGCAUGGCUGUCGUCAGCUCGUGUUGUGAAAUGUUGGGUUAAGUCCCGCAACGAGCGCAACCCUUAUCCUUGUUUGCCAGCGAGUAAUGUCGGGAACUCCAGGGAGACUGCCGGUGAUAAACCGGGAGGAAGGUGGGGACGACGUCAAGUCAUCAUGGCCCUUACGGGGCUGGGGCUACACACGUGCUACAAUGGCGGUUACAGUGGGCAGCUACACAGUGAUGUGAUGCUAAUCUCAAAAACCGUCU